ACUUAACCUUCUCUUCUUUGCUGUGGUCACUGCCACUGACCCUGUCCCUAAAUUACCUGGUUCCGCAACUUCGUCUUAUUAUUCUGGAGGCAAAUGUGAUCUCUUGAAGUUAGGAGUAUGUGCCAAUGUGCUUAACCUGGUUGAUGUGGUUGUCGGAUCCCCUCCAACGCUGCCAUGCUGCAGUCUCAUCGAAGGCCUUGUCGAUCUUGAAGCGACUCUUUGUCUAUGUACCGCCAUUAGAGCCAACAUUCUGGGAAUUGACUUAAAUGUUCCUAUCGCACUCAGCUUGGUUCUUAAUAACUGCGGCAAGAAAGUCCCGAGUGGCUUUGAAUGUUACUAGAACAUCUUCUUGGUGGUCUGAUAAGCAUGUUUAAUUUUUUUAUCUUUAUAAUUUUUAUUUGAUGUUUACCGUUUGUAAACAAAAUGUAUGGUUUGUUUCCCAUUGAGGGCAUCUCAUCAAUUCCCUUUGUUCGGGUCCUUUUGAGGUGCCAUUUUGGGUUAUUCCUUUGGUUGAGUUUGAGUUCCAACAAAAUUUAAAUUCAUGAUUCCGAGUAAAAAACUAAUCGUUUGAUCACUUCCUCUUACUAAAGUGAAGGUUUUAGUCAUUAAGAGACAACUACCUCCUACGCUCAUUUUUUAUAUGCGAACAUUUUGUUGUUUACGUUUGUAACUAGAAAUUGUAAAGUUUUCUUACCAAAAAAAAAAAAGAAAUAGUAAAGUUUAGUUCAGUUUCUAACCGCAAAACCCAAACACCGGAGUAUUGGAGUAAGAAAACAUGGUUUGAAUGUUUGAUAAGAACAUCUUUUCUGGCGUUGUAAGAAUAACAUUGACGUUGUCGCAAGUUGGCUACAAUAAUACUAAAAUAAUAAAUUUAAAUAAUUUGUUGAUUUGCUCCGGACGAUAAUUACUGACUCUAUUUAAAAUAGAAUAUAUUAUAAUUAUUUUGGGUUUAAAUAAACUACAUAAUUUCUUCAAAACAGUUCACUAUCCUGAAGAUUCGAGAUAGAUUUUAUCAAUCAAUUGAGUUGAGAAAACAAUCCAUCGGAGUCGGUAUUCUUUUUUACGUAUAGUAUUCGCUCGUAUUUUUAUUUAUAAUAUCAAAUCUUGUUUUAAUUUUAAUUAAAAAUUGUAUCGUUAGAGUGAAUAUUCUUUAUAUUUUCAUUUGGAAUAUAUUUUAUCUAGUUUUAAUUAAAAAAAAUAUUAUUUGAUUAAAAAUGAUCCCAGAAAUCUUUAAGAAACUUGGGCUGGAUCGCUGUUAAAUGGAAUGGCAUGACAUUCAAUUAUAUUUCGACUUGUUUUACCUGAUCGAUCGACGUCUUUAAUUUGAUAUCCAGACCAUAUUAAUUCUAACAAAUUAAAAAUUAACAGGAUUGAACUUCGUAAAUACAGGGAGAAGAGUACUUCGAUUAUAAUAGAUCACGCACCCAGUACGUACAAAUCUUUUACAAACAGUUGUAUAAUAAAAUAAUAAUAAUAAAGAAUGCAUAUAUUGCCGGAGGAUCACCGUGCAGAGAACUAUCUUAGUAACAUUCAAAGCCGGACGGGACUUCCUUCCCGCAAUUAUUAAGAACUAAACUGAGUGCAACAGGCAUAUUCAAGUCAAUUCCCAAAAUAUUGGCUCUGAUGGCCGUACACAAGCAAAGAGCAGCUUCAAGAUCGACAAGACCUUCAAUGAGACUGCAGCAUGGUAGCGUUGGAGGUGAUCCCACCACAACAUCAACCAAGUUAAGCACAUUGGCACACACUCCUAACUUCAAUAGAUCACAUUUACCUCCAGAAUAAUAAGACGAAGUUGCGGAAUCCGGUAGAUUAGGGACAGAGUCAGUGGCACUGACCACAGCAAAGAAGAGAAGGUUGAGUGAGAGAAGAAGGGUUAAUGAAGAAGUGUUCUUGGAUUCCAUUUCCGAAAUCUGGUUGAUGUUUCUUUUAUCAGGUUCUGGUAAUUAAAUUUGUAGAAAAGGAUUAGUGUAUGUGUUCUGCUGAUGGAUCUUGUAGUUAGGAUGAAACACAUAUUUAUAGUCUUUAUGGUCUUCCUUACUAGAGUCUUCCAAGCAAGAAAGCCCGGCCGGAUAACGUUGGCACGUCUAAGUAAUAGUAAGUAUAAUAGAAACAUGAGGGACAUGUGCAUUGAUAUAUCAUAAAUCCUCUCUAGCUUAAGAAAUUCCUUGACACAUUACACAAAGAUCAAUUCAGUUGUCUAGAACUAUAGAAAUAUUACCAUUUCUUUUUUAGUUUCAGGGAUAUUGAGCUGGCUAUUACUUAAUGAAUGAUUAAGAAACAGCCUAUAGUCCCCAGCACGUCCAUGUAUUAUACAUUCGCUGCAUGUAUUUGAAGAGAGAGUGCCAAUAUUAUGAUUAAUAUCAAUCUUCUGCAUGUAGUUAUCUAAUUAUAUAUAUGCACAUGUUCCUCCUGUUUCUUAAACUAAUACUUUCCGGGAUUUUUGUAUAUUACAGAUUUACAGUUGCUAAAGAUCAUAUAAGACGUGCUAACCUUGCCUUAAUUAUCGUAGAUACUAAUCACAUAGCUAUAUUUAUAAUACCUUCUUGGAUUUACAAACCACAGUAUGCAAAUAUUCUACAUUUUUUAAAACCUUAUAAAUAUGCAAUUCAAUUUAGCUACGAAGUCCAUCAGCAAAGACACAAACACAUCUUUCACAGAGCAACAUAAUUACUAGAAACGACUUAGAGCGACAUUACCCAACCAGGUUUCUGAAAAUGGAAUGCAAGAACAGUACUUCUUCAUUAGCCCUUCUUCUCUCACUUAACCUUCUCUUCUUUGCUGUGGUCACUGCCACUGACCCUGUCCCUAAAUUACCUGGUUCUACAACUUCGUCCUAUUAUUCUGGAGGCAAAUGUGAUCUAUUGAAGUUAGGAGUGUGUGCCAAUGUGCUUAACCUGGUUGAUGUCGUUGUUGGAUCCCCUCCAACGCUGCCAUGCUGCAGCCUCAUUGAAGGCCUUGUCGAUCUUGAAGCUGCUCUUUGUCUAUGUACUGCCAUUAGAGCCAAC
rnacentral:lncRNA from 1 species